rnacentral:rRNA from 1 species
UACGUAGGGUGCAAGCGUUGUCCGGAAUUAUUGGGCGUAAAGGGCGCGUAGGCGGCUUUGGCAAGUGGAUGGUGAAAUCCCUCGGCUUAACCGAGGAACUGCCGUCCAAACUGCUUCGCUUGAGACCGGGAGAGGUGAGUGGAAUUCCCAGUGUAGCGGUGAAAUGCGUAGAUAUUUGGGAGGAACACCAGUCGGCGAAGGCGGCUCACUGGACCGGUACUGACGCUGAUGCGCGAAAGCGUGGGGAGCAAACGGG